CCGCAAACCGACACAGGUAGGCGAGAAGAGAAUUCUAAGGCGCGCGGAAGAACUCUCGUUAAGGAACUCGGCAAAAUGACCCCGUAACUUCGGGAGAAGGGGUGCCUCGGUAGGGUGAAUAGCCCGAGGGGCCGCAGUGAAAAGGCCCAAGCGACUGUUUAGCAAAAACACAGGUCUGUGCGAAGCCGCAAGGCGAAGUAUACGGGCUGACGCCUGCCCGGUGCUGGAAGGUUAAGGGGAGUGGUAAGCUCGUAAGAGCGAAGCUAUGAACCGAAGCCCCAGUAAACGGCGGCCGUAACUAUAACGGUCCUAAGGUAGCGAAAUUCCUUGUCAGGUAAAUUCUGACCCGCACGAAUGGCGUAACGACUUGGGCGCUGUCUCAACGAGAGAUCCGGUGAAAUUUUAAUACCUGUGAAGAUGCAGGUUACCCGCGACAAGACGGAAAGACCCCAUGGAGCUUUACUGCAGCUUGAUAUUGAAUUUGGGUACGAUCUGUACAGGAUAGGUGGGAGCCGUAGAACUUUGAGCGCCAGCUUGAAGGGAGGCAUCCUUGGGAUACCACCCUGAUCGUAUCUAGGUUCUAACUUGGUGCCGUGAUCCGGUACGAGGACAGUGUCAGGUGGGCAGUUUGACUGGGGCGGUCGCCUCCUAAAGAGUAACGGAGGCGCCCCAAGGUUCCCUCAGAAUGGUUGGAAAUCAUUCGAAGAGUGCAAAGGCAGAAGGGAGCUUGACUGCGAGACCUACAAGUCGAGCAGGGACGAAAGUCGGGCUUAGUGAUCCGGUGGUACCGCAUGGAAGGGCCAUCGCUCAACGGAUAAAAGCUACCCUGGGGAUAACAGGCUUAUCUCCCCCAAGAGUCCACAUCGACGGGGAGGUUUGGCACCUCGAUGUCGGCUCAUCGCAUCCUGGGGCUGAAGUAGGUCCCAAGGGUUGGGCUGUUCGCCCAUUAAAGCGGUACGCGAGCUGGGUUCAGAACGUCGUGAGACAGUUCGGUCCCUAUCUGUCGUGGGCGUAGGAAAUUUGAGAGGAGCUGUCCUUAGUACGAGAGGACCGGGAUGGACGUACCGCUGGUGUACCAGUUGUUCCGCCAGGAGCACCGCUGGGUAGCUAUGUACGGAAGGGAUAAGCGCUGAAAGCAUCUAAGCGUGAAGCCCCCCUCAAGAUGAGAUUUCCCAAUUAGUAAGACCCCUUGAAGACGACGAGGUAGAUAGGUUGGGGGUGGAAGUGCAGUAAUGCAUGGAGCUGACCAAUACUAAUCGGUCGAGGGCUUAUCCUA
rnacentral:rRNA from 1 species